AAAAGGGUUUCAAGAGUUCCAGAAAGGGGACAGCACAGUGCCCAAGUUUGUCCAGGCUUGAGGGGGGAUUUGAGACUUCAGCUGAACUCAGAAGAUUGUCUCAGCAUGUGGACAGGGACACUGAGGAACUCAGACCACCGUCUCGGCAUGGGGACAGGGAAGCAGAGUUUGAAAUGUGGAAGCAGGUAAAAUCGCCAGCAGCAAGUUAGAGGUUGCAAGGCCUUCCUCCCCACAAAGGGUUAAGUGGGGGCCGGUGAUGUAAGUGCUGAUCCCACCGGUGUUUGAACAGGAAAAGAACUCGGGCGCUGUUUUUCUUCUCGGAAAGCCAAUCCCAGCGGAGUCGCUGGGGUUUUUAAAACCAAAUGUCUUUACAGCCUGAAAUGAAUAACCAUGACCUCAGCCUUCACACACGCAGCCCCUGCUGCUAUACAUUUAGCUUCGGCCGCUCUCCG
rnacentral:lncRNA from 1 species